UUGAACCAUUCGUUGAUUGAUAUCUUAUCAUGAGAGUCUCAAACCCUAGUUGUGAGCUUGAUAGGGCACAAAUGGGUGCACACACUACAUACAAAAGAAACAAAGUUAUAAAUAGACAUAUUUUUUUUGGUAUUUUGGUUAGUAAACCAGAGAAAAUAAAGUAUGAUGCAGCCAAAUGUGCUUGGUGUUAUCUCCAAAUGAAAACCCAAUGAAUGAGGGGUGAGGAGGAUACCAAGGUGUGAUCCCAAAGCCAAUGCAAAUGAUGAGAUAGCAUGAGGGAUCUUAGGGUCAAAAUUGGGGUCUUACAUCAUCCAUUAAAACUUCUUCCCAUUUAGUACCCUUACAUUGCAUUUCAUUCAUUCCCUGUGGGAAAAUUUCAUGGUUACUUUGGUAUUUAAUCCUCUCAUACUUCGAAUGUUUGAAAGCCAUUGUUAUUCAUACAUUCAGGUCCGAAAAGAUUAAAUAGGGGAAGUUGUCAUACCCUAAACUUUGCCCUCCCAUUUUCAUUUUCAUCUAAACUUUUGGUUUAAGAUUCAUUUUCAUUCAUGAACAUCCAUGACAUCAAAAACUUUAGGCAAGAAAAAGAAGUCCUCAUUUGACGCGUGGGAGCAUUAUAAAGAUUUGCUAAGACAAUGCCCUUUCCAUGGGCUUGAGAAGCGGAUGAUUAUCCAUAAUUUUUACAAUGGUCUCCUUUACUCCACAAGGUUGACCUUAGAUGUGGCUUCUGGAGGAUCCCUAAUUAAUAGUCCUUUAUAAUAUAAGAGAUGGCUAAAAACCACCAUUCAUGGGGAAGUGUGCGAUAAGUUACCGCUAAGUAUACUCCUAAAAUCGGUGGUAUAUAUGAGGUUAAUGCAUUUGGUCACAUGAACGCUAAGGUGGAUUCUCUUUACCAAAAUAUAGAUACCCUUAGAAUCACACCUUCCACACCUAUUAUUCCAUCCCAUAUUGCUUCAGGUGCCCCUGCCAAACUCUACUAUGAGAUAUACAGAGUUAAUGGGCAUACCAAUAGAUAUUGUUAAAUGAUCCUCAUGGGAGGAUCCACCCAAGAGAAUGCUAACUUUGUGAAUAAUAACCAAAGGAACAGACUUACUCUAACACCUACAACCCAUGGUGGCGUGAUCACCCAAAGUUAUCUUGUAGAAACAACAACCCCCAAUAAGCCAUGAGGCCUAUAGGUUUCCGAAAAGUUACACAACCCUAGCCUAAGAAGUCUAACAUUGAACUUUCGAUGGAAAAUAUUUUUUUGACACAAACCCGUCAAAAUGGUGAGUUUAAAUAUCAAAACCUCCUCACCAAUGAUGCGCUGAGGCAAUUGAAUACUAGGUUGGAUAAUGUUGUUACUCACACCAAGAUGUUAGAGACUCAAAUCUCCAAGUGGUGCAACAACAAGCCGUUUCUUCCAUCCCUCUCGAAUCAUUUUCAAGGCAUCCCGAAUGAAUAGCUAAGGGGCAUUUGAAUGCCGUGACAACUCAUAGUGGUAAGGAAGUGUGACAACACCAUACAAAAAGGAGGUUGCUAAAGAGGUUAAAAUGAGUGUGACAACACCAUACACAAAGGAGGUUGCUAAAGAGGUUGGGAAGGGAGUACCCUAUGUUGCUCAUACUCCAUAAAAACCUAUUGUUCAUUAACCAUAAAGGCUUAUGAAAUCCUAAAUGGAGACCCAACUCAAAAAGUUUGUGGAACUUCUCAAGAAGAUCCACUUCAAUGUGCCUUUCACUAAGGUGCUAACUCAAAUGCCCUCUUAUGCCAAGUUCUUGAAAGAGAUCCAUUCCAAUAAAAGAAAGCUAGAGGACUAUGAAAAUAUGGCCAUAACCCUUGAUAGUAGUGUCGUUAUUCAAAACAUGGUCAUCCCUAAGCUCAAAGAUCUGGGAAUUUUCUUUAUCCCUUGUCAUAUAGGUGUCAUACCCCAAAAAUUAUCCUCCCCUUUUCAUUUUCAUCUAACCUCUUUGUUUAAGAUUCAUUUGCAUUCAUGAACAUCCAUAUCAUCUAGUGUACCAACAUCAUCAUAGAUUUAAAGGUUUAAGGUUGAUUAUAAUUAACAAGGACCUAGGGUUUGCUUGAGGAUCAAGCCCGAGUAGUUGUGAUGCUACAGACAUUAAGAUCCCAUCAUGGUGAUCAAAGUGCAAGACCCAAGUUACUAGGUGUUUUAGGCCUUAGAGGUUGCAUCUUGGUGUUCAUUCCAUGCCAAACCCUAAUCCUUGGUUUUGGAGCUGGUGAACCUUAUGGAUUGCUUUGAGGGGUUGAAAACCCUAGUGUGGCUCAGGUUAUUGGUGCAUUGAUUGUGUUGAUCACUCACUUGGUUUGAGGCCUUUGGCUGUUGAUUGGAUUUGAACUUUGACCUAGUUGGAACCCUAGUUCAUGGUGCCUUGUGAUUGGUCUAAGACAUGCUUACAUUCAUGUUUCAUUGCACGUUGUUAUUAGUCUCAUUUGAUCUAAGUCACACUUCAUCCAUUGGUUUUCAUGGUCAUCAUUAUUUGGUCCAAGUCCCAUUCCAUUUUCAUUCAUUGCUCUCACUGUGUGUCAAGGUUCAAUGUAAAGUCAAUUGGUCUAAGUUUCAUUGUCUAUUUGGUCAAAUCACUUCAUGGUCAUUUGAUUUUAAUGCCAUUCAUUCAUUCAAAGUAUUUAUUUUCAAUUGGUUACAUUGGAUUUGGAAGAUGGUCAAUUGAAUCCUAUUGUUUCAUUAUGUUAUUAAAACAUUAUUAAGUAGAGAAAAUACAUUCCAUUCAUUGAUUACAUUAUUCAUAUAUAUUUCAUUGAAAGAAAAUUACAAAAGUACAUAAUUUUUGCAUAAGUUGACUUUUUGGUAAACUCACCAUUCUACCAUACCUAAAACCAUAGUGUUCUUGUUCUUUAUGAUCAUCUUGGCAUUUGUUUAUCACCUAUAAGAAGAAACCAAGCACAUGUUCAUUAUACCAUAUCAUGUCAUAACUUUCCAAACUAAAACCUAGACAAAGCAUUAAAAUACAACCAUUAAUACAACAUGAAUCAUACAUGACUAUCAUAAGCCUAUACCACACAUACAUACCCACAUUAUCAUUUCUAAACCAUUAACAUGUCAAUACAUAACCAAAACCAACACAACAACCUAACCUAAACCAUUUCAAACCAACUCGAGCAAAACCAAACAUUGCAAGCAUCGCAUUAACAUGAGACCACUACCAUUUUAAAACUUAGCUAGCCAUGACAUUUUCUAGCACUUCCAAAUAAGGCAUUUACAUACAAUACAUACCAUUCACCAUCACAAACAAUGCAAACAGUCACUAACAUCCUGCCAUGGCAUUGCAAACAAAAUCAAUCCAAGUAAGAAUGACCAAAACCUAAAAUAGACCUACCAAAUACAUGACAAACCUCACACAGCCAUGAAUGCCAUCCUGCAAGACAACAUCAAUAACUUGUCCAAAUUCAAACCACGUUGCGGUCUACCUCACAUGGCCAUGUACUGUCCAACAUCAAUCAGCAUGCAACCCUGUAACAAUAAACCUGCAGCAAAGCCAAACCCACCAUUCACCUACAACAACAAUACAUAAACCCUGCAAUAACCAUUUCAUAACAAGUAUAUUGCAAACCACAAGCAGAACAACAUCAAGCUAACCAACUGGUCUUGAAAAUCGAGCUACACACUUAAUAACCAACAACAACUUAACAUUUAUUAUCUAACAAAAGAUUAUAAUUUAGUUUAACAAUUAAGUCCAAUUGACUUUUUCACUAAGCAUUUAUUAACCAGAAACUGAAUUUGAUUCAAAUGCCAGCUUCCAAAUCAUUUCAAUUAAACCAACUCAGAUUUUCAUUUUCACUUUUCACUCUAACUAUGGCAAUUAACUCCAAAUAUCAUUUAACAGGAAUCGAGCUAACAAUUUUCCAUAAUAACAAAUAACCUUUUUCACUUAACAUCACAUUUAACAACUUAAACUAAUUCGUUUUCACAUUUAGCAGAAAAAGUAAAAACUGAUAUUUACAUUAACCGAGUCUAACUCAUUCCAUUAACUGAAACUAACAAAGAUUUUCCAUUAUAACUAACUAAAUUUUCUCCAAGUACCUAAGCUAACCGAAUAUAACUAACAAUUAACUCCGUGAGAUCAUUCCAACAAAUUUUCAAUGCAAUCAUCUAACAUUGUUGAUCAACUCUGUUAGAUCCUCCACUAUGAAUUUAUGAUUCAUUUAAUUCACGAAUUCAAUUAUGAUUCGUUCACCAUUCAUCACAAUCCGCGGUUCAAACAAUUCACCAAUCUCUCUCUCUCUCUCUCUCUCUCUCUCUCUCUCUCUCUCUCUCUUUUCACCAUUCAUCACAAUCCGCGGUUCAAACAAUUCACCAAUCUCUCUCUCUCUCUCUCUCUCUCUCUCUCUCUCUCUCUCUCUCUCGAGUUCAUCAGUUCUCACAACACACAAAUUUCCUAAAGAUGAUUUGAGAAGAAGAAGAGAAGAACCAGGAAGAAGAAUGGGAGAAAGAAGAUUCAAGAUUCUUACCUGAUUCUGGCGCUGCUCUAGUGAGUUACUUCUUCAUCUUCAUCGUUUCAUUGUGUGUGAGUUACUGGAACAUGGGAGGCUAGGGGAAUCAAAGCCAUAACCUCUAGGGAUUUGAUUCCUAGAUGUGAGAGUUUAACUUUAGGUAUGAAUGUUAGGGUUCUUCCACUAUCCAUUUUGAUUCAGACUUGUGAGGAGGAAGUAGCUCGUUCCAAGGUGAUAUUCGGACUCAGGACAUUAAACUGAAGAAGGUGAUAUAAUUUAUUUGGUCAUUAAGGCUCUACCAUCCCCGGAGGUGACCUCCGGCACGACGGAGGAAGUCUGAGCUUAGUGGAGGGAUUUCAUGUGGUUUGAACUUUUAAUCUUUGGAUUUCAGGAUGUGGAAAAUGUGUUUAGUAUGCUUCCUGCUCACGUGGCCUUGCUGACUUCAAUUCAU
rnacentral:lncRNA from 1 species